rnacentral:misc_RNA from 1 species
AAGUCGUAACAAGGUUUCCGUAGGUGAACCUGCGGAAGGAUCAUUAAAAGUAAUUGGUUAUACAUAUCCUGUAUCAACUGCACAAACCCAUUCCGAGUACCUUGCCUGUUGCUUCCAUGGGGCCUGACUUUGGUCACUCUUGUGAUGCGAAUCCCAAGAGAGUCCCCAUGGGGGGUAAUCAUAUCAAUCAUCAAUGCAUCUCUCUGAUGAUGAAUAACAAAUGUUAAAA